rnacentral:lncRNA from 1 species
AAGAGCGAGCGAGAGAAAAAUGGGCUGCAAAGUUUUGCAAGCAGUGCAGAUUUAUUAGAACGCAUCAGGGC